AUUGAACGCUAGCGGGAUGCUUUACACAUGCAAGUCGAACGAGUGGCGGACGUGUGAGUAAUAUAUCGGAACGUGCCCAGUAGAGGGGGAUAACUACUCGUAAGAGUGGCUAAUAACGAAUAAUAUUGUAGCGGCCGAUGACGGAAUAGCUGGGUGGGGGGGAAAAGGCUCACCAAGGCAACGACACGGAGCCGGUUUGAGAGGCCGACCGACCACACUGGGACUGAGACACGGCCCAGACUCCUACGGGAGGCAGGAGUGGGGAAUUUUGGGAAAUGGGGGAAACCCUGAUCCAGCCAUCCCGCGUGUAUGAGAAGGCCUUCGGGUUGUAAAGUACUUUUGGCAGAGAAGCGGUAUCUGCAGAAUAAGCACCGGCUAACUACGUGCCAGCAGCCGCGGUAAUUC
rnacentral:rRNA from 1 species